rnacentral:rRNA from 1 species
AGAGUUUGAUCAUGGCUCAGAUUGAACGCUGGCGGCAGGCCUAACACAUGCAAGUCGAACGGUAACAGGAAGCAGCUUGCUGCUUUGCUGACGAGUGGCGGACGGGUGAGUAAUGUCUGGGAAACUGCCUGAUGGAGGGGGAUAACUACUGGAAACGGUGGCUAAUACCGCAUAACGUCGCAAGACCAAAGAGGGGGACCUUCGGGCCUCUUGCCAUCAGAUGUGCCCAGAUGGGAUUAGCUGGUUGGUGAGGUAACGGCUCACCAAGGCGACGAUCCCUAGCUGGUCUGAGAGGAUGACCAGCCACACUGGAACUGAGACACGGUCCAGACUCCUACGGGAGGCAGCAGUGGGGAAUAUUGCACAAUGGGCGCAAGCCUGAUGCAGCCAUGCCGCGUGUAUGAAGAAGGCCUUCGGGUUGUAAAGUACUUUCAGCGGGGAGGAAGGUGUUGUGGUUAAUAACCACAGCAAUUGACGUUACCCGCAGAAGAAGCACCGGCUAACUCCGUGCCAGCAGCCGCGGUAAUACGGAGGGUGCAAGCGUUAAUCGGAAUUACUGGGCGUAAAGCGCACGCAGGCGGUCUGUCAAGUCGGAUGUGAAAUCCCCGGGCUCAACCUGGGAACUGCAUUCGAAACUGGCAGGCUUGAGUCUUGUAGAGGGGGGUAGAAUUCCAGGUGUAGCGGUGAAAUGCGUAGAGAUCUGGAGGAAUACCGGUGGCGAAGGCGGCCCCCUGGACAAAGACUGACGCUCAGGUGCGAAAGCGUGGGGAGCAAACAGGAUUAGAUACCCUGGUAGUCCACGCCGUAAACGAUGUCUACUUGGAGGUUGUGCCCUUGAGGCGUGGCUUCCGGAGCUAACGCGUUAAGUAGACCGCCUGGGGAGUACGGCCGCAAGGUUAAAACUCAAAUGAAUUGACGGGGGCCCGCACAAGCGGUGGAGCAUGUGGUUUAAUUCGAUGCAACGCGAAGAACCUUACCUGGUCUUGACAUCCACAGAACUUUCCAGAGAUGGACUGGUGCCUUCGGGAACUGUGAGACAGGUGCUGCAUGGCUGUCGUCAGCUCGUGUUGUGAAAUGUUGGGUUAAGUCCCGCAACGAGCGCAACCCUUAUCCUUUGUUGCCAGCGGUCCGGCCGGGAACUCAAAGGAGACUGCCAGUGAUAAACUGGAGGAAGGUGGGGAUGACGUCAAGUCAUCAUGGCCCUUACGACCAGGGCUACACACGUGCUACAAUGGCGCAUACAAAGAGAAGCGACCUCGCGAGAGCAAGCGGACCUCAUAAAGUGCGUCGUAGUCCGGAUUGGAGUCUGCAACUCGACUCCAUGAAGUCGGAAUCGCUAGUAAUCGUGGAUCAGAAUGCCACGGUGAAUACGUUCCCGGGCCUUGUACACACCGCCCGUCACACCAUGGGAGUGGGUUGCAAAAGAAGUAGGUAGCUUAACCUUCGGGAGGGCGCUUACCACUUUGUGAUUCAUGACUGGGGUGAAGUCGUAACAAGGUAACCGUAGGGGAACCUGCGGUUGGAUCACCU